rfam:Glossina fuscipes fuscipes unplaced genomic scaffold Scaffold945, whole genome shotgun sequence.
GGGGGUAGUUUUUUAGUACGUAGGCGCCAUGGAUGGCGAAUCGUGCAUGCUGCUAUGAAGACCCAGCAGUAUCUUUUGAAGAUUUUCUACCUCC